rnacentral:ncRNA from 1 species
AAAACUUACUAGAUCCAGACAUAGUAAGGAUUGACAUAUUGAGAGCUCUUUCUUGAUUCUAUGGGUGGUGGUGCAUGGCCGUUCUUAGUUGGUGGAGUGAUUUGUCUGGUUAAUUCCGAUAACGAAUGAGACCUCAGCCUACUAACUAGCUACGUGGAGGUUCCCCUUCCCGACCAGCUUCUUAGAGGGACUAUGGUCGUUUAGGCCUUGGAAGUUUGAGGCAAUAAUAGGUCUGUGAUGCCCUUAGAUGUUCUGGGCUGCACGCUCACUACACUGAUGCAGUCAACGAUUUUUUCUACUUGGUUCGAGAGGAUCGGGAAUUCUUCUCAAAUUGCAUUGUGAUGGGGAUAGACCAUUGCAAUUAUUGGUAUUCAACGAGGAAUUCCUAGUACGCGCAUGUCAUCAGGUCGUGUUGACUACGUCCCUGCCCUUUUUACACACCUCCCGUCGCUCCUACCGAUUGAAUGAUCCGGUGAAGUGUUCGGAUCACGUCAACGAGGGUGGUUCACCACCAACGAUGUCGUGAGAAGUUCACUAAACCUUAUCAUUUGGAGGAAGGAGAAGUCGUAACAAGGUUACCGUAGGUGAACCUGCGGUAGGAUCAUUG